rnacentral:sRNA from 11 species
GAUCAAGUUUGCGAACAUUCUUGUAGUGGGUAGGCGCAUGGGCAGGAUGGUGUAACCAUCCGGCGGAAGCCACCCAUGCGCAGAACGAGGCUCCUCCGGGGGCCUUUUUUAUGCCUCCA